rnacentral:tRNA from 2 species
GGGUCUUUAGCUCAGGGGAUAGAGCAACCGCCUUCUAAGCGGUCGGUCGCAGGUUCGAAUCCUGCAAGACCCG